rnacentral:rRNA from 1 species
GACGAACCGAGCGAACGUUGUUCGGAAUCACUGGGCUUAAAGAGCGUGUAGGCGGCCAGACAAGUCUGCUGUGAAAACUCGAGGCUCAACCUCGAGACGCCGGUGGAAACCAUCAGACUAGAGUCCGGAAGAGGAGUGUGGAAUUCCCGGUGUAGCGGUGAAAUGCGCAGAUAUCGGGAAGAACACCCGUGGCGAAGGCGGCACUCUGGGACGGUACUGACGCUGAGACGCGAAAGCGUGGGGAGCGAACAGG